rnacentral:rRNA from 1 species
AGUGAACGCUGGCGGUAGGCCUAACACAUGCAAGUCGAACGGCAGCACAGUAAGAGCUUGCUCUUACGGGUGGCGAGUGGCGGACGGGUGAGGAAUACAUCGGAAUCUACUUUUUCGUGGGGGAUAACGUAGGGAAACUUACGCUAAUACCGCAUACGACCUACGGGUGAAAGCAGGGGAUCUUCGGACCUUGCGCGAUUGAAUGAGCCGAUGUCGGAUUAGCUAGUUGGCGGGGUAAAGGCCCACCAAGGCGACGAUCCGUAGCUGGUCUGAGAGGAUGAUGAGCGACACGGGAACUGAGACACGGUCCAGACUCCUACGGGAGGCAGCAGUGGGGAAUAUUGGACAAUGGGCGCAAGCCUGAUCCAGCCAUACCGCGUGGGUGAAGAAGGCCUUCGGGUUGUAAAGCCCUUUUGGUGGGAAAGAAAAGCAGCAGGUUAAUACCCCGCGGUUCUGACGGUACCCAAAGAAUAAGCACCGGCUAACUUCGUG